UCUAGAAAUCGAGAUAUGGGCUGAACACUGAACAGUAUCUGGGCUGCAUGAUAGAUUCUGACUUCUCCGUUGUUGCUAAGAUUUGGAAUUCCAAACAACAGAAUUGAGUCUUGCACUCCUCAUGAAUGUUUUAGGCCUAUGUCCUAGCUUUCUAGC
rnacentral:pre_miRNA from 1 species